rnacentral:rRNA from 1 species
CCUACGGGUGACAGCAGUGAGGAAUAUUGGUCAAUGGACGAAAGUCUGAACCAGCCAAGUAGCGUGAAGGAUGACGGCCCUAUGGGUUGUAAACUGCUUUUAUAAGGGAGUAAAAGGAGGCACACGUGCCUGUUUGCAUGUACUUUAUGAAUAAGGAUCGGCUAACUCCGUGCCAGCAGCCGCGGUAAUACGGAGGAUUCGAGCGUUAUCCGGAUUUAUUGGGUUUAAAGGGAGCGUAGGCGGUCUGUUAAGUUAGUUGUGAAAUUUUGCGGCUCAACCGUGAAAUUGCCACUGAUACUGGCCGUCUAGAGAACAGUUGCGGUAGGCGGAAUGCAUGGUGUAGCGGUGAAAUGCUUAGAUAUCAUGCAGAACACCGAUUGCGAAGGCAGCUUACUAAGCUGUGACUGACAUUGAUGCUCGAAAGUGUGGGUAUCAAACAGGAUUAGAUACCCGAGUAGUC